rnacentral:rRNA from 1 species
GACGAACGCUGGCGGCGUGCUUAACACAUGCAAGUCGAACGGAAAGGCCCUGCUUGCAGGGUACUCGAGUGGCGAACGGGUGAGUAACACGUGGGUGAUCUGCCCUGCACUUCGGGAUAAGCCUGGGAAACUGGGUCUAAUACCGGAUAGGAGCCAUUUUUAGUGUGAUGGUUGGAAAGUUUUUUCGGUGUAGGAUGAGCUCGCGGCCUAUCAGCUUGUUGGUGGGGUAAUGGCCUACCAAGGCGGCGACGGGUAGCCGGCCUGAGAGGGUGGACGGCCACAUUGGGACUGAAAUACGGCCCAGACUCCUACGGGAGGCAGCAGUGGGGAAUAUUGCACAAUGGGCGCAAGCCUGAUGCAGCGACGCCGCGUGGGGGAUGACGGCCUUCGGGUUGUAAACUCCUUUCGCUAGGGACGAAGCUUUUUGUGACGGUACCUAGAUAAGAAGCACCGGCUAACUACGUG